rnacentral:tRNA from 1 species
GCGCGGUUAGCUCAGGGGUAGAGCAGUGCUUUUACACAGCAAAGGCCGGGGGUUCAAAUCCCUCACCGCGCA